UUUAUGCAUUUAUUUUCAUUCCAUUUUUCCCGCCAAGAAGUUAUUUGUUUUUAUGCUGUUUUCACUCUGUUCUAUUUUGCACUUUGUGAUUAGUGGAACUUCCAUCCAGUUAAACCAUUCUAUUAUUAUAAAGAGACACUGUUCCAGAAUAAAUAUAUAUUUCUUCUUGUAUAAAACCCUUAAUAUACACAUAAAUCUUUUAAAAUUAUAUAUUAAUAAUAUCAAAUUUAGUGCUUUUUUAAACUAUAUCUUAAUUAAAAUCUGUUAUUGUUACAUCCAACACAUAUUGAGUAAUUUAAUAUUAACAAACUAAAAAUCAAUUUUUCUUAUCGCAGUUUUUAGGCCUUAGUCAUAGCACUUAAUUACUGGUAAUUGUAGGAGUUCAUCCAUCAGGUCAAAACACCUAUAAAUCCAAUAAUUAAAAAUUUAUCAGGCAAAGUAACUUUAUCAUCAAGUCUACUUUCUCUGGCAAACUGCUAAAAUGUGUCAGACUUUCAAAACCAACAGGAAAAUGAGAUAAUUAUGCUACUAUAUCUUGGCAUGUUAAACUCACCGAAUAUUAAAGAAAAGAGUUUUUAAAAAAUCAUGUUUUUGUUGUAAAUCUUUACUUAUCUUAAUUUUGGUCAUAUUGGUCAGUUUUUCGUACUAAUUCCUAUUGCAUUUGGUCGUAGAGACAUUAUAUUGAAUAGGCAGUGUUAUAUCUUAUAUGUUAAAAGAACAGAAGUUGAAUCCAAUAAAUAAAUAUUUGGAUUAAUUGUCCAACUGUUUCAACACACCUUCUGUUCAAACAUGGCUAGAAGGUUGCGACAUUUAGCGUAAAUCUAUAGUGCCAGGUUUUUGAGAGUUACAUCACAAAAUUAAUUGACAAAAGUGACACCAAAAUUACUAUAAAUUGUAAUUCAAUAUGCCAAAAUGUGGUCAUGACAGAUUAGUGUGAGGAGAAAUCAGAUAAAUUUUGAUCAAACCGCUAACAAAAACUUAUUAUUUAAACAAAUAGGAAUUAUCUAUCCUGGGAAGUUUCUACGUAGAGACCUAUUUAUCCAAAAAGGUCGUCGGCAGUGAACUUGGCAAUGGAAUUUUUGAAGCUGUCGGAGCGGAAAAAUGAAAUGGAAGA